UGGAAUACAAGGGCAAGAAGACAGAAGUCUUGAGUCUGCCGAGGAGCUCAGGCCUUCACCGUCACGCUGGGCUUCCAUCUCCAGGGCAGACUCUGCAGCCGUCCAACGCUGGCCCUUUGGCUUUCAACAGACUCGCAUGGGACUGCCGUGAGCUCUGGGCCUCUGGCUUUCAGCUGGGUCCUCUGCUCUCCAGCACACAGACAACCAUUUUGCCUUCUCCACACCUGACUCUGCAGGCGCCAUGGUAACCUUAGCUGGCCUGUGUUGCCACUGGACUGUCUCCCUCUGGCCUGGAAGAUGUCUGCACUGUCCCUGUCCCAUCUGCUAGAAGCUGGCUGAAGGCCUCUCCCGUUCUGCUGAUAGAGAGCUAAGGAGACAGAAGCUUUAAAGACCCAGAGAUUUGAAAGAAGCCACAGCCCUUUUGACAAUCUCCAGGUUUUGGGAUCAGAAUUGUGCUGGCUUUGUGAAGUAACCAGAAAGCUCCCUGCAAUUUCCUUUGGGCUGGCACCGUCUAUGCCACAGGCUCACAAGUUGCUCCGUGAAUACUGACAGGAACUGAACCCCACAACUUCAGGUGUGGACCCCUUUUAGGGAGCAAUAUUUUCAUUUUUCAGGGAUUGUUCUGUUGAUAGUAUACUCAGUCUUCAAUAGGUUUAGGAAAAUUAUCAUU